rnacentral:sRNA from 1 species
GCCAGGUGUGGUGGCACACACCUGUAAUUCCAGUGACCUGGAAGGCUAAGGCAGGAGGAUCAUGAGUUCAAAGCCAGCCUCAGCAACUUAUCAGACCCUGUCUCAA